GAGAGAAAUCAUGAUCUUGAGAAG
rnacentral:snRNA from 1 species